AACAAACGCUGGCGGCGUGCCUAAUACAUGCAAGUCGAACGGGGAAAGCUUUCGGGUGAGUACUAGUGGCGCACGGGUGAGUAACGCGUGGAUAAUCUGCCUUAGAGUGGGGGAUAACUAGUCGAAAGAUUAGCUAAUACCGCAUAAGACCACAAGAACUGCGGUUCAAGAGGUCAAAGGUUUUUCGCUCUAAGAUGAGUCCGCGUAAGAUUAGCUAGUUGGUGAGGUAACGGCUCACCAAGGCAACGAUCUUUAACUGGUCUGAGGGGAUGAUCAGUCACACGGGAACGAAGACACGGUCCAGACUCCUACGGGAGGCAGCAGUGUGGAAUAUUGCACAAUGGAGGAAACGCUGAUGCAGCGACGCCGCGUGAGUGAUGAAGGCCUUCGGGUCGUAAAGCUCUGUCGCAGGGGAAUAACACAAUGAAUGUACCCUGUAAGAAAGGAUCGGCUAACUUCGUGCCAGCCGCCGCCGUAAGAC
rnacentral:rRNA from 1 species